UAAAGGGGUGAUCCAAAUUCGAUCUGAUCCGAAUUCGACGAAAUAAGAUCGGAUUCUUUCCAGUUUCCACAGCUCCUACAGAUAUUAACACGAAUCUGUUGGUUCACGAACUAAGUGCCCUCGGCAGACGACGCCCUCUAAACCCGCGUGCGUAAUCCACACCAUCGGCACGUGUGACACGUGUCGUUCGCACGGCCGUUCGAUUAUUUCUCUUUGCCGAUGCUCUUCAUUCGUGUUAGCAUAAACUCAAGCAAGUGGCCGCACACGCGUGAAACCCUAGAAUCCGCAGCUUCCCAUGAACUCUUUCUCCGAUCGCCGGAAACUCGCCGGAAGUCACAAAUCCGAUCCAUUGAAAACCAAAUAAAAACCUCCAAUAGUCAAAUCUGUAACAGAUCUGUUUAUACACGCCGGAGAACUUCCAGUUUCGAGACAAUUCACCGGAAAAAGGUUUCAAUUCCACCGGAGAAGGCCUAGGAAUUUCUAAAGCUCGCCAGGAAAUCUGAUAUUGGUCGAGAAAGGUGAGAUUUUGUUAGGUGACUUCGCCGUAAAUGUCCGCAUCUAUGGGAAAGUAGAAAGUGAGGUUGUCAAGGAUUCAAUUAGUUCUGAUUCAAGGGGAAACCCUAAGUAUUGACAGAGAGGAGAGAGCGACGUGUUGAAGUGAGCAUUCACCGUCUAAACUUGAAAGAAAAGCUGCAAAGCGAUUCAGAUUUCCAUGACUUCUUAGGCGGAUGGCGCGAAUGAAUCGGGAUGUAGUUUUCCAGUCGACAAGAUAAUAGAGAAGUUCGAAAUAAGGCGGCAGAAAAAGUCAAGAUCACCAGCAAAAUUAAUACAUAAUCUUCCAAAUUUCACUCAGGAAAUAGACAAUCACUUUUUAUUGAGCUGACACCAGAGUCUGCAGCAAUUCCUCAGAGCCUUAAAAUGAAUGGAGUUGCUCAGAUCUGGACAGCAGCGUAGCAUAAUCGCUAUUUGACAGAAACAAAUUAUGCGAAGAAGGUAAGGAAUUAUAGUUUUGGCAUUUCAAAAAGAAAAUAAAGGUCAGGAAUUAUAGUUUUAUCAUUUUAAAAAAGAAAAUAAAAGAAAAGGAGAGAAAAGAAACAGAAAAAUAGGUACCAUGACCCAAGAGAUGGAGAAAUUAGGGGGAACAAGCGAAGAAGAUGAUGAAGAAAUGGAAAUGGGAGUAAAAGAAGACGUCGAUGAAGACGAAGACGAUGAAGGGAAGAAAGCGAACAGCGCGAACGAAAUGGCCGUCGCGGAUGAAGGAAUUGAACCAAACAGCACAAGUCAGUUUCAACAACAACAUCAAGAGCAACUGUCUGCCUCCGGUGGGGUUCGAAGGUGUCGACCAAAAGAGGAGAAAGAACGAACAAAGCUACGAGAGCGGCACCGGAGAUCGAUCACAGCAAGGAUCUUGGCAGGACUCCGCAGGCACGGCAACUAUAACCUCAGAGUUAGAGCUGACAUUAACGAUGUGAUAGCUGCUCUGGCGCGAGAGGCUGGCUGGAUCGUCCUUCCAGACGGAACCACCUUUCCGUCUAGAAAUCAGGGUGCAAGGCCUGCUGGUGCCCCUUCUAAUGCGGCCGCAACUUCGUCGUCGCACAUGAUGCCGGUACAGACUCCGCCAGCUUCCACGAAAGGAGUCUCAUCUGGGUUCCACAGUACAGUGGAUUAUCGCUCCGGUCGUAUGAAGAGUGUGUUCAUGCCAACUUCAUUGCCUUACCAGAGGUCAUCCUCUACUCGGUCUAGAACGCUUGGCAUGGUGGGAGAUAAAGGACAGAGGAUUGAGAAUUCUCUUCUCGGUAGUGGUGCGGACACUGUUGACGGUGAUCAGGUAGUGGAUGUACCUCUGAAGUUGCAAGAGCGAGACUUUGCAGGCACCCCUUAUGUUCCAGUUUAUGUAAUGUUACCGCUGGGAGUAAUUAAUAUGAAGUGUGAACUGGUUGAUCCAGAUGGUCUACUAAAGCAGUUAAGAGUACUGAAGUCAAUUAAUGUUGAUGGCAUUAUGGUUGAUUGCUGGUGGGGAAUUGUGGAGGCACAUGCUCCACAGGAGUAUAAUUGGAGUGGUUACAAGCGGCUCUUUCAAAUUGUGCGUGACCUCGAUUUUAAAUUGCAGGUGGUAAUGUCAUUUCAUGAAUGUGGAGGCAAUGUUGGUGAUGAUGUUUGCAUUCCUCUGCCCCAUUGGGUGGCAGAAAUUGGUCGGAAUAAUCCUGACAUAUUUUUUACAGAUAGAGAGGGAAGGCGCAAUCCUGAGUGCCUCUCAUGGGGAAUUGAUAAGGAACGAGUUUUAAGAGGCCGAACUGCUGUUGAGGUUUACUUUGACUACAUGAGAAGUUUCCGUAUAGAAUUUGAUGAAUUUUUCGAGGAUGAGAUCAUUUCUGAGAUAGAAGUUGGAUUAGGUCCCUGUGGAGAGCUACGCUAUCCUUCUUAUCCUGUAAAGCAUGGAUGGAGAUAUCCUGGCAUUGGUGAAUUCCAGUGCUAUGAUCAGUAUUUGUUGAAAAGUUUGAGAAGAGCAGCAGAAGCUAGGGGACAUUCUUUUUGGGGUAGAGGACCUGAUAAUGCAGGUUCUUAUAAUUCCAAGCCACAUGAAACAGGAUUCUUUUGUGACGGAGGAGAUUAUGAUAGUUAUUAUGGAAGGUUUUUCCUUAAAUGGUACUCUCAAGUUUUGAUUGACCAUGCUGACCGUGUACUUUUUCUGGCCAAGCUGGCUUUUGAGGGUACCUGCAUUGCUGCAAAGUUAUCAGGUAUCCAUUGGUGGUACAAGACGGCCAGCCAUGCUGCUGAACUAACUGUUGGGUUUUACAAUCCAUGCAAUCGGGAUGGUUAUGCCGCAAUUGCUUCAAUGCUAAAGAAGCAUGGGGCUGCUCUUAACUUUACCUGUGUUGAAUUGCGCACUUUGGACCAGCAUGAGGACUUCCCAGAGGCACUGGCUGAUCCUGAGGGCCUGGUCUGGCAGGUACUCAAUGCUGCAUGGGAUGUUUCCAUACCUGUGGCUAGUGAGAAUGCUCUUCCUUGCCAUGAUAGAGAAGGCUACAACAAAAUAUUGGAAAAUUCCAAACCAUUAAAUGAUCCAGAUGGAAGGCAUCUAUCAGCAUUCACAUACCUCAGGCUAGGCCCACAUCUCAUGGAGAGAGACAACUUUUUGGAAUUUGAACGGUUUGUCAAGAGAAUGCAUGGGGAAGCCGUUCUCGAUCUCCAGUUGUAACAGAAUAGCGGUUCUCAUCAGCUUCACAAAUGAUCAAUCUGAUCUACACCUACUUCUCUUCGUUGCAGGAUCUGCUGCGCACAAAACCCUGUGUGAAUGCUAUGAACAGAACACUAUAGGAGGAGCAAAUCUCCUUUGGCAGCGGCUUUUCCAACGGUAUAGAGAAAGGUUUAAUUUAACCCAGCAGCGGCAUAGAAAAAGGAUUAAUCCGGCAGUUCUCAUGAG